GAUGAACGGUGGCGGCGUGCCUAAUACAUUCAAGUCGAGCGAAGCGGGGACGGGGGAGUAACACGUGGAUGACCUCCUAUAAGACUGGGGUAAAAUCGGGAAACCGGGUAUAAACCGGGUACCUAUGGCUGGAUUCGCGCUGCAUUAGCUAGUUGGUAAGGUAACGGCUUACAAAGGCAACGAUGCAUAGCCGACCUGAGAGGGUGAUCGGCCACACUGGAACUGAGACACGGUCCAGACUCCUACGGGAGGCAGCAGUAGGGAAUAUUCCGCAAUGGGCGAAAGCCUGACAGAGCAACGCCGCGUGAGUGAUGAAGGUCUUCGGAUCGUAAAACUCUGUUAUUAGGGAAGCGGUACUUACACAGAAAGCCACGGCUAACUACGUGCCAGCAGCCGCGGUAAUAC
rnacentral:rRNA from 1 species